rnacentral:lncRNA from 1 species
GAGGGAAGCAGGCUCCCUGAGGGGAGCCCGAUGUGGAAUUCGAUCCCAGGACCCUGGUAUCGCACUUUGAGCUAGAGGCAGAUGCUCAACCACUGAGCCUCCCAGGCAUCCCUAUAUUCUUAAUUAGAUUUAAGUAAUAUGUAAAGUGUUUUUUAAAAAGAUUUUAUUUAUUUAUUUGAGAGAGAGAGAGAGAGAGAGAAGAGAGAGCAUGAGAGGAGGAGCAGAGGGAAAGAGACACACAGAAUCCCUGCUGAGCUCGGAGCCUGUUCCGAGGCUCUAUCCCAGGAUCCUGAGAUCAUCAUCUGAGCUGAAAUCAAGAACCGGUCACUUAACCCAACUGAACCACCCAGGCGCCCCCAGUAAUAUGAUGAGAGAGUUCAUUCUUGGCUCGCUAGUCCCCCAGCAUGGUGGCAUUUGUUGCAGCUCACUGAAGGAGAGGUUUCUUUUUCUGAAUAUUUGCUGCUUUGAUUGUCCAGGCAAGAAACGGAAUUAUUUUGGAAAUACAUAA